rnacentral:rRNA from 1 species
ACCUAAUUCCCUUCUACCUCCCAAUUCAUCUCCUUCCUCAUCAUGCGUCGCAGAUCCUUUCCUUUUCAAAAAANNNCGCUAGGCUCCAGCAGNUGAGCGCAGACGGGAGACUGCUCCUUGAUUAGCGGACGGACGGGUGACCAUUCCUAGGAAUCUGCCUGGUAGUGGGGGACAACGUUUCGAAAGGAACGCUAAUACCGCAUACGUCCUACGGGAGAAAGCAGGGGACCUUCGGGCCUUGCGCUAUCAGAUGAGCCUAGGUCGGAUUAGCUAGUUGGUGAGGUAAUGGCUCACCAAGGCGACGAUCCGUAACUGGUCUGAGAGGAUGAUCAGUCACACUGGAACUGAGACACGGUCCAGACUCCUACCGGAGGCAGCAGUGGGGAAUAUUGGACAAUGGGCGAAAGCCUGAUCCAGCCAUGCCGCGUGUGUGAAGAAGGUCUUCGGAUUGUAAAGCACUUUAAGUUGGGAGGAAGGGCAGUAAGUUAAUACCUUGCUGUUUUGACGUUACCGACAGAAUAAGCACCGGCUAACUCUGUGCCAGCAGCCGCGGUAAUACAGAGGGUGCAAGCGUUAAUCGGAAUUACUGGGCGUAAAGCGCGCGUAUGUGGUUCGUUAAGUUGGAUGUGAAAGCCCCGGGCUCAACCUGGGAACUGCAUCCAAAACUGGCGAGCUAGAGUACGGUAGAGGGUGGUGGAAUUUCCUGUGCAGCGGUGAAAUGCGUAGAUAUACGAAGGAACACCACUGGCGAAGGCGACCACCUGGACUUGAUACUGACACUGAGGUGCGAAAGCGUGGGGGAGCAAAACAGAAUUAGAUUCCCUGGUAGUC